AAGUGGGAUGACGUCAAGUCCUCAUGGCCUUUAUGUCUAGGGCUACACACGUGCUACAAUGGGUGGUACAAAGAGCAGCUAACUCGCGAGAGUAUGCAAAUCUCAAAAAGCCAUCCUCAGUUCGGAUUGGAGUCUGCAACUCGACUCCAUGAAGUUGGAAUCGCUAGUAAUCGCGGAUCAGCAUGCCGCGGUGAAUACGGUUCCCGGGCCUU
rnacentral:rRNA from 1 species